CCUUAUGGUUGUAAAGCACUUUAAGCGAGGAGGAGGCUACUUUAGUUAAUACCUAGAGAUAGUGGACGUUACUCGCAGAAUAAGCACCGGCUAACUCUGUGCCAGCAGCCGCGGUAAUACAGAGGGUGCGAGCGUUAAUCGGAUUUACUGGGCGUAAAGCGUGCGUAGGCGGCUUAUUAAGUCGGAUGUGAAAUCCCCGAGCUUAACUUGGGAAUUGCAUUCGAUACUGGUGAGCUAGAGUAUGGGAGAGGAUGGUAGAAUUCCAGGUGUAGCGGUGAAAUGCGUAGAGAUCUGGAGGAAUACCGAUGGCGAAGGCAGCCAUCUGGCCUAAUACUGACGCUGAGGUACGAAAGCAUGGGGAGCAAACAGGAUUAGAUACCCUGGUAGUCCAUGCCGUAAACGAUGUCUACUAGCCGUUGGGGCCUUUGAGGCUUUAGUGGC
rnacentral:rRNA from 1 species